AGUGAACGCUGGCGGUAGGCCUAACACAUGCAAGUCGAACGGCAGCACAGUAAGAGCUUGCUCUUACGGGUGGCGAGUGGCGGACGGGUGAGGAAUACAUCGGAAUCUACUUUUUCGUGGGGGAUAACGUAGGGAAACUUACGCUAAUACCGCAUACGGCCUACGGGUGAAAGCAGGGGAUCUUCGGACCUUGCGCGAUUGAAUGAGCCGAUGUCGGAUUAGCUAGUUGGCGGGGUAAAGGCCCACCAAGGCGACGAUCCGUAGCUGGUCUGAGAGGAUGAUCAGCCACACUGGAACUGAGACACGGUCCAGACUCCUACGGGAGGCAGCAGUGGGGAAUAUUGGACAAUGGGCGUAAGCCUGAUCCAGCCAUACCGCGUGGGUGAAGAAGGCCUUCGGGUUGUAAAGCCCCUUUGUUGGGAAAGAAAAGCAGCAGGUUAAUACCCCGCUGUUCUGACGGUACCCAAAGAAUAAGCACCGGCUAACUUCGUG
rnacentral:rRNA from 1 species